UAACGACUCUCGGCAACGGAUAUCUCGGCUCUCGCAUCGAUGAAGAACGUAGCGAAAUGCGAUACUUGGUGUGAAUUGCAGAAUCCCGUGAACCAUCGAGUCUUUGAACGCAAGUUGCGCCCCAAGCUGUUAGGCUGAGGGCACGUCUGCCNGGGUGUCACG
rnacentral:rRNA from 1 species